rnacentral:rRNA from 1 species
AGAGUUUGAUCCUGGCUCAGGACGAACGCUGGCGGCGUGCUUAACACAUGCAAGUCGAGCGGAAAGGCCCUUCGGGGUACUCGAGCGGCGAACGGGUGAGUAACACGUGAGUAAUCUGCCCCUGGCUUUGGGAUAGCCACCGGAAACGGUGAUUAAUACCGGAUAUGACCACUUUACGCAUGUUUGGUGGUGGAAAGUUUUUCGGCCAGGGAUGUGCUCGCGGCCUAUCAGCUUGAUGGUGAGGUAAUGGCUCACCAUGGCUUCGACGGGUAGCCGGCCUGAGAGGGUGACCGGUCACACUGGGACUGAGACACGGCCCAGACUCCUACGGGAGGCAGCAGUGGGGAAUAUUGGACAAUGGGCGGAAGCCUGAUCCAGCAACGCCGCGUGAGGGAUGACGGCCUUCGGGUUGUAAACCUCUUUCAGUACCGACGAAGCGCAAGUGACGGUAGGUACAGAAGAAGCACCGGCCAACUACGUG